UAGGGAAUCUUCCACAAUGGACGAAGUCUGAUGGAGCAACGCCGCGUGAGUGAUGAAGGGUUUCGGCUCGUAAAAACUCUGUUGUUGGAGAAGAACGGGUGUCAGAGUAACUGUUGACAUCGUGACGGUAUCCAACCAGAAAGCCACGGCUAACUACGUGCCAGCAGCCGCGGUAAUACGUAGGUGGCAAGCGUUGUCCGGAUUUAUUGGGCGUA
rnacentral:rRNA from 1 species